rnacentral:rRNA from 1 species
UACGGAGGAUGCGAGCGUUAUCCGGAUUUAUUGGGUUUAAAGGGUGCGUAGGCGGGCUUUUAAGUCAGCGGUAAAAAUUCGGGGCUCAACCCCGUCCGGCCGUUGAACCUGGGGGUCUUGAGUGGGCGAGAAGAAGGCGGAAUGCGUGGUGUAGCGGUGAAAUGCAUAGAUAUCACGCAGAACCCCGAUUGCGAAGGCAGCCUUCCGGCGCCCUACUGACGCUGAGGCACGAAAGCGUGGGGAUCGAACAGG